GGAUGUGAGGGAGAUCUCGCUGCGACCUCUGUCACCCCAUUGAUCACCAGGGUUGAUUCGGUUGAUCUGGCCGGCUAAGCCAGUGUCCCCUUCCUCCCUCACCGCUCCAUGUGCGCCCUGCCAGAAGCUGCGUGCUCAGUCAAAGAGGAGGACCUUCCCCGAUAGAGGAGGGGACCGUUCUUCCACGGAGGGUAUAGGAGUAGCUGCACUCCCCAGUUAGAACCUACAAACAAGAUUUCGAAGUCCAUUUGUAGGAUAACAUAGCAUAGUCAAGCUUCCAAGACUCCAGACACAUCCAAAUGAUGUGCUGCACAUGGCAGUCUGCCUUUCUUU
ensembl:misc_RNA 7SK 7SK RNA